AAAUAAGAAUCGAUAAAUCGAAGUUAGUUUCGACCUAACCUUAGGCUACGGCCCUUGUUUU
rnacentral:tRNA from 1 species